rnacentral:rRNA from 1 species
UACGUAGGGCGCAAGCGUUGUCCGGAAUUAUUGGGCGUAAAGAGCUCGUAGGCGGCUUGUCACGUCGGGUGUGAAAGCCCGGGGCUUAACCCCGGGUCUGCAUUCGAUACGGGCUAGCUAGAGUGUGGUAGGGGAGAUCGGAAUUCCUGGUGUAGCGGUGAAAUGCGCAGAUAUCUGGAGGAAUACCGGUGGCGAAGGCGGCAUCCUGGACCGGCAUUGACGCUGAGGAGCGAAAGCUAGGGGAGCAAACGGG